rnacentral:rRNA from 1 species
UACAGAGGGUGCGAGCGUUAAUCGGAAUUACUGGGCGUAAAGCGCACGUAGGCGGCUUGGUAUGUCGGGUGUGAAAUCCCCGGGCUCAACCUGGGAACUGCAUCCGAAACUGCCUUGCUAGAGUAUGGGAGAGGGAAGUGGAAUUUCCGGUGUAGCGGUGAAAUGCGUAGAUAUCGGAAGGAACACCGGUGGCGAAGGCGGCUUCCUGGACCGACACUGACGCUGAGGCGCGAAAGCGUGGGGAGCGAACAGG